CUCCUCUCCCCUGGGCCUGGCCGGUGCAGCUUCCCUUCCUGCUCCCUUCUGCUUUCUCAAAAAGUCUCUUCUCUUUGCCUUUUUACGUUAUCGAGCAGCAAGAUCGGAAGAAGGAGCUAGAUAGCACUGGCUCUCAUACCCUGGUUUUGUGCACCGGGAAACUGAGGCUCGGAGAAGAGAGGUAACAUGCCCCGGGGGGCUUUGGAUGGGUCAGAGUGGAGUCAGGACUGGGCCCCUGUCGCAGGGCUGAUCUGUAGCCACACCCAGCUGCCUCCUCGCCCUCCCUUCUUUGGUGGGCAGGAGGCUGCCUCUUUCUUAGACUAUGCAGCAAGGUUACAGAAAAGGGCUCUCUCUCCCUGACCAGGAACCAAGAAGCCUGGAGAGCUAGCUACUAGGGAUCCACAGGGCAGAUGGUCUUCUCCCCCAGGUCCCAGGACCUGGUCUGCUCGCAUCUCUGAGCAGGGAGUCAUGGUCUUCCGUCCCCAAGUCUCCUGGCUGUCUGCUCACCUUUGAAGGUUUCUCAUGCUCCCCCACCCUGACCAGCUGUUUGUACAGGCCAUGUCCAGGUGCUCACGGCCAGUCCAGGGACUCCAGACCAACGGGUAAAAUGUGUCCCUGACCUGCUCAUGCCCCUUUCCUGAAGGCCCCAUGCCAUCUGGACCUGGUGUUGGAUCCAUCCUUUUGUUGGGUCUUUUGGCCUCUGUCACUAUUUAACUACUUCCUCUGUCCUGUUCCCACCCCCACCCCCAUCCAGGACUACUGUGCUCCUUGAACACUGUUCCCACACCUCCUGGCCUAAUUCUAUCUUCUGAGGGAUCCCCUGGGGCCUUCUGCUGGAACAAGCUGGGGGCUUCCAAUAACUGAAGACUCUCUGGCUCUUUGGCAUUUCCAGGGUACAAAGCCCAGAGAGUUCCAGUGGGCAGAACAGAGGCCCUGGCCAGGCGGCCUCCUUUGCCCUCAGGGGUCCACGGUGAACUCUUACUGGAGGGCAUCAGCUCUGUGGUGACAUUCCUCUACACCACGCUCACUCUUCUCACAAGCUUGCCACUAGGAGUAAUAGAGUUAUCUUUAGGUCAAUGUGCUAAUAAAAUUUAAUUUUUAAUAUCUUUUUGGAGGAAGAAGUCCAUGGAAGCCAAAGAACCCAAGGCCCACAAAAAUGGUAAGGCAGCCCUGACCACCACCCCCGACAGCUGGGAGCACACAGCCUGGAGCAAGAGGUGGACACUCCAGCUGUGCUCUGCUGGCUCUUUCAACAAGCUCCUGGGGACAGAUGGUGUCCCUAACCCUCCUCUCCUCCAGGAUGGGUCCUCAGUCCCCCUUACCUGUCCGUCUGAGUCUGGCCUCAUGGGUCACAAUAGAGGCCUGAUUGUCUCUUUCUCCUCCCCAGACUGAGCAGGACCUGCACACACACAACACAUGCUUUCACAUGCAAGGACGUAUGCAUGGAUAAUGCAUAUGCAAGCAUGCAUGCAUACAUGUAAGUUUUACACCCUGCAUGUGCACUAAAUAUCACACAUGCAUGCACACACAAAUAUGUGCAUAGAGGAAGACACACGUGGUGGUCACUAACCCACUGACACCUCAGAAACCCUCCACCAUGCACACUGUUGCCUCUGCUACCUGCACCCCUGUCUCCCUGUCCCCUUUGAGUACUCACUGAGUUAUUGCCUCUCCCAUGCUGUUCAUAAUCCAAGCCCCUCCUUCAUCUUAUCUCUUUUUCCUGGAGCUCCUGUACGUGGGGAGUUGCUGGGGCAGGACAUGCAGCAGCGGGCAGCGAGUGACCACAUUGCUCCAUGUCCCUCUCUUGGACACACCUUACCUGGCUAGUCUCUCUUCCUCUCCAGACAGUACCCUGAGUGAGCAUGGGCUUGGGUCUGACACAGCUCUCUGCACACAACCAGGUGGGGAGCAGGCCUCAGGGUGCAAGGCAGCUCAGGCAGAAUGGAAUCAGCCCUGUGCCAGCCUACUAGGCAGCCAGGGUCAGGAGGGUGUGCUUGACCUCCACGGAGAGGGACAGGGCAGGGCCACCUAUUGGGCUACCCCUGUUCAUUCUUUUGUCUCUUUGGAUGCUCUGAUGCUAGGGGCCGGACUGGCGGGGGUGCAUGCUAGGGCCCCUGCCCCCAUCCACCCAGAGACCCCUCCCUCAGUGUCCGUCUGGAGAUUCUAUUCAUGUGAAGCCAACAUUCCUGGAGCCCACAGGGCCAGCAAGAUCAUCUCACACAGGCAGAUCGCUGUCUUGCCUAAUGAGAAAAUGAUGACAUGGCCCCCUGCUAUGGCCCCUGGGGACCUGAGUCCCCAGCACCAGCAUGGCAGCUUCACCCCAGCCUUGCCCCACAGCUCCACCCACAGGUCCUGGGAAGUUUCCUCCCAUGGACUCCCUGCCCCUUCCAGGCAGGGCCUUCCCAUCACCUGUGUUGAGACCUCUGAACUCCCAGGGCAUUAGAACAGCAGGCCCUUCAGGUCAUUAAGACCCCAUUGCACCAAGGGAAACUGAGGCAUGGGAUGAUGUGACCCCAGUGUCCUGCAGCCUCAACCUGCCCUCCGGCCCCACAGACCCAGCAGCACCACGCAGGGAACAGCAGAAAGGCAGGACUUCCUCCUUCCUCUUUGCCUGCUCCCCACUCCAGGUUGACAUCGCUGGGACCUCAGAGAGCCAGGUCUGGCAGGGUUGGGGCUGCAGGGUCUGAACUCAGGAAGUCCAAGUGCUCAGGCCAGAUGCAGGUUAAUGGAGGAGGAUAACUGCAGUCCAGGCCAGGUGAGGGUCCUCUCUCAGGCCCUCAGGCCCAAGAAUGGAAGCCCUAGAACUGGCCAGUUUUACAGCCACUCAGGAGAGGGGGGCUGCAUCACAUGCCUGCCUUGGUCUCCCUGCCACCCCUGCCCUGCCAAUCAGAGGACAGAUGACCCAAGGAAACACAGGCCAUGGUCCCCAGAUUGGUGGGUUUGUAAACUCACAAAUAGAGACCAGGGCAAGGUUGUGAGCUGACUAGGGAAAUGCUGGUAGGUGAGGGCAUUAGAAGUCAUGGAGGCCUUCCCAGAGGAGGCAGAGUUUGAAUCACAGAAUCUUGGAUCUGAAAGAACCACAAAGGCUGCCUGAAAUCACAUAUCCUCAGACCCAGGAAUCUCCUUGGUGAAUCCCUACCACACGGCCACUGGGCCCUAUGUGGGUACUUCCCCUGGCAGUGACAUCUUCUUUUCAGGCCACCUAUCCCCUUGUAGUACAGUGCUGAUGGUUAGAGGGUCAUCCCCCCCAUGUCACUUCCCAGCAGGGCUGCCACUUUUCCCAGUGUUCCACACCCUCCGUCUAGUGACGGCUCUUUGGAGCAGAAGCAGGGACCCGAGGGCCCAUCCCCUUGGGGGGACAACUUCUCAGGAGGUCCACUGCAGGUCUUUGGGGCUUACCUGUUCCUGCUUCACCCUGGUGGCAGUGCAGGGCCCCAGCAUGGCAUGGUAUGGCAUGGCAUGGUGAUCCUGCCCCAGUGGCACUGGAGAAGUGUGACCUUAGUCCUCGAGGAGGUAGACAGGCAGCUCCUGGAGAAUCCCCUGACCUGGGACACAUGGCCACCAUCAUCCUUCCAGAAAAUAACACAAAGAGGGCACAAGUCCCACACUCCUCAGUGACCUGACCUGCCGGAGAUCGGGGCCCAGUAAGAGAAAGGGCUGGUUUGGAAGGGGUGAGUUCAAGCCUUGGGUCAGAGAGUCAGGGGAGGAAGAGGGGAGGCAUCAGGAUGGACCUUUCGCCUCUGUUCCCAAGGCAUCUGAGGAUUUCUCCCGUGCUCCUCAGACAUUUAUAGAAACUUAAAUUCCCUGAAGUCUCUGAUUCAUUAAGUCUCAGUAACAUCUAAGAAUUCUGCAUUUCUAACAAUCUUGGGUGCUGCUGCUGCUGCUGGUCUCUGCACCACACUUUGCGCCAUAAGAGACCAUAAGGGGUGAGUCACAGUCUAGUGAAAACAAAAGAGAGAAAGGAAGCUACUCCUGGUACAGAGAUGGCCACUGAGCAUCACUUUCCACCUAAGCUUCCUGAGAGCCACAGCAAGAAAGAGGCGUUCACUAGCUCUUCCUCCAAGAUGACAGACAGCUGCCUGUCCCGAGUAGAAAGGCUUUUCCUGAUUCUGGCUGUCCAGGGAAUCGACCUGGCAGAACUUCUGCCAGGAGAGUUGGAAAGCCUGUCGGUCAUUUUAGGAGCACAGCAGGGUUUUCUAUGGGAAGGGUUCAUACUUGAGUAGGGUGCAUCGCUGAUGUACAGUCACGGUUCCGAUAACACCAGGCCUCUGGUGCCCAGCCUGGGGGCCGUCCUGCCAUCUCUUACUGACUCAGAUGCCAACGGGCUCAAGUGUCCCUGCCAAUGAUGAAAACCUGCUACUGGGUGCCCCACCAUGCAGUUCUGGGGGGAUCGGGGGGCAUCUGGGACCCAGGUCUAAGCCACAGGAAGAGGUGUGGUAGAUUUGUGGGCAACGGAAGAGCCCCACCUUUUCCCAGUAAUCAGGAAAGGCUUCUUGGAGGAGGGCAUGUGGCAUACAGGUCUGUUUAUGUAAAGGAAGGGAGGAGGUUUGGGGAGAGGAAGGUCCAGGCAGGAGGGAAUGGAGGGGGUGGCACGGCAGGGGUUCCAAGCCAUGGCAAGGGCACAGGGGCAGGGGAGUCUCCCUCAGUGCCCCUCUCCCCAUGGCCAGCUCUGACCCUUAGGGAGAGAGUAGUGGAAGGAAGAUGGCAGGCCCUCUCGCCAUCCUGUGCUCCCCGGAUGUCCGGUGUGAGUCUGAUUCCUCUCCCCACCUGAAGCAGAGCCAUGGGCAGUCUCUGCUCCCCCUUCUCUGGUCUGGGCAGAGGAGGACGCCUGGGUCUGCCUUGGAGCAAUGAUGUAGUUUCUGCCCCCAGGGAGCCCCCCACCUAACCCAGGCCAGUCCCAGUGGGAGCUGGAGUGGAAGCCGUGGCUCAGGCUAUGAGGAGGCCUCUGACGGUAAGAGUGGACACAGCCACGGCAGGACAGGGAGAGGACAGACCUGGGAAACCAAACACUAAGGGGCCUUAGGGAAGUCACCACCCCAGCCGGGGUUCCUCACUCGUAUCACAGGUACAUUGGAUGACAAAUGGCCUGACGGAGUGCAGGCUGAACACAGCUGGGUCCCCAAGCCUGGGUUCCGGGCCUUCCCUGCCACAUCUUCCCAGGGAGGUGCCCCUCUCUUCCCAGCCUCCUUGUGGUAAAAGCAGCAUGAUCCUGAUGGUUUUACAGAAAAGGAAAUGGAAAAUCAUUAGACAAAUAAAUCCAAGGUGUGCCUGCCUUAACCAGGAAGAUGGAAAAAGCCCUUGGUAUUCUCUGCAAUGAUUUUGGGGGACAAGAGGAAAGGGGUUCACAGGCGGCCCUGCAGCUGGAAGGCGGCACCUCAGUUGGCCAGGCCAGCUUCUUUCUGGGUGGGACAGACAGGGGUGCCGAUCCAUCACUCCUUCUGGGUGCUCACCCUCGGGGAGACGGCUGAAUUGAAGGAAAGGCUGGGCUCCUACACAAUAGCUUGUGGGUAUAGAAACCAAGACACUCCAGAUAUUUCCAGAGGCCCUCAGGAAAUAAGGGAAGAUAGGGGAGGCGGGGCCGUAGGGAGUCCCGCCCUGUAUCGAGACCUUCCAGAACCUCAGCAAAUCUUCCAGGACGCAGGGGAGCCCAGAGGAAGCACCUGCCACCUGUUCGCCCCAGGCCCUGGGUGACUACCCGGGCUCUCUGAGAUUCACUUUCCUCCUGUGUCACCAGGGAAGUUUGAGUGCCAGCCCUCUAGGGGCUGCAUACAGCGCUUGCCACUGCUGCCCCCAGGGUCCAUCUCUGAGUGGUCACAGUGGUCACAGUGAGGGAUAAGGCCACCUUGAGACAUAAGGCCACCUUGUCCCAUCACCUAAAGCAUAGGGUCAGGGAGAACCAGAGGGUGGCCCAGGAGCAGAGGUGGGGCUGGUGUGAGUUGGGAAAGGGAGAGGAGGAACUUGCUAUUCAGAUGAGGGUUUGGGGAGCUCUAGGGGUGGGUCAGUCUCCAGGGGUCAGCCAACAGUGGGUGAGGUCCAGUGGGCCUCACUCCAUCCCAGCCUCCGACAUGGUCACCCUUCUUAGACACACUUCUUGGGUCUCAGUGAGGCUGAGCUGCCCCAGCCCCAGCACUCUGUCAGCCGGUCUCAGGACAGGAGUCACCCUCUCUUGGGCAUGUAGUAGCUGCCAAGUCCUGUUCUUCAUCCUCACCCUGGCUUUAUAAGGUGUCUACUAUUAUUACUGUUAUUUUACAGAUGGGGAAACUGAGGCCCAGAAAGGACAUUUUGCCCAUUUGCUUUGUAAUUUGGGGGACACAAUACAGGAACAAAGGUCAAAUUCCAGGGACCAGCUCAUAAACACAUUCUUUUUUUUCUAACAGCACACAGGUGAAGCAAGAAUCCCCCCUAAGCCCCCAAGUGACCACAGCAGACAGACAGGCUCGGGUCUGUGACCCACAGGCCCAGGUGGGCCAGGCUGCAGGAUGGAGGAUCUAUGUGUCUGAAGGCUGGGAGCUCGUUUUCCUGCCUGGUAGAGAUUCCUGGGUCCCCAGGAGAUGAGCACUUUCAUAAUGCCCCCUGGAACCCCCAUAUGGCCAGAGAUGGGGUCCCAGACCCUGAAGACACUGAGUCUCCCCAUGGGAAGAGACCCUACCCAAGGCCACCAAGGGACUGAAAACUAUCCUGCCAGCCUGGCUGUCUUCCACGGUGCAGUCGGCAGUGGCCCAAGGGAGCAAGACGGUCCAAUCCAAAUGCCCAAGGUCACCAACUGCAUGGAAAACAAUGGGCAACAGGUCCAGCCAUGGCCGGAGCCAGAACAAAGGACUGGCACUUCCUCGCAUUCAGGCCCCUCCUUCAUGGUCUGCCAAGGCCAGAGGAUGGAGGAAACCUUCAUCAUGAGGCAGGGAGGUUGUGUCGGCUGGUCUCAGAGAGCUGCAGCUCCCUGUGUUGACAGAGGAGCAGAAAGAGGGACCAGCUGCUGGAGGCCCAGCUCAGCCUGCUGGGAAGCAGGGAGACUGGGGGGAUCCGAGACCAGUCCUCCCACCUUCCUGGAUCACUCAAACCGGGGUAUCUCCCACCUGCUCCUCCUCUCCAUGGCCCCAGCAUCUCCCCUCUGAUCUCCCCUCCACAUUGUGGCUAUUCAGUCUUCAGAAAACAUUAGGAUCCACCACUGCUCUGCUCUGAAGCCCUCUAUGGCUCCCCAGUGCUCCCAGGAGGAAGUUCAAGCUCUUCGGCCCUUCAAGAUUCAGUCCUACAACUUUAAUCUUCCCGUGACUCCCAGGCGCCCCAGGUCCCCUCCCCCUGAGAGUCAUGCCCCUGUCCAUCCCACCUGGAGUGCCCUCUGCCCCUCCUCCCCACUCCUCUCCUUAGGGUUGGGCCUAAAUCUUUUCCCUGCCCAGAAGCCUCCCUGACUGCUCCAGCCCAUGCUGGGUCCCUUCUUCUGAGCUCUACGCCCCAAAUAAAUCCAAGAAUCAUCUGCGUCAGAGGCUUGAGGAUAGGAAAGGUAGCAGAAUACAACAGUUACUAAUAGGGCAUUAUGUAAAAAUGUGGAUGUGUAACCAAUGAGAUUCUGCAAUCUGUAUUUGGGGUAAAAUUGGGAGUUCA
rnacentral:lncRNA from 1 species